CCCUCACCGAGAUGCACUCAGGGCCUAUUAGAGAACAAAUGCAUUACUUGGAAACAUGAAAUGUUAACUACAGAAGAGAUCACUCACUUCAAGAAAACCUAUAGUAAAAGAUUCCUGGACUAGAGGACGUAUAAAAUAAAAUUCUCAAAAGCACCUCAGGAAAUAAAGACUUGACUUUUUGAGCUCCUUCUAUCCAUCUGAGAAGAUUAUGGCUCAAGUAGCCAGUGAGCGUUCAGCCUGGACGCUGGAAUAGAGACACAAAGAGCAAAUUUGAACUUUACCUGCAGCCUAGAGCUGAGACUGGCUGAGCCAGCAUACCCAUGAAUGAGAAGUAAUUGAUUAUUGCUUUGUUUCUUUUUAUGACAGCAAAAAUAUAUAUAUGUAUAUAUACUAUAUAUAAAUUUAUAUAUACAUAUAAGUACAUGCAUAUAAAUUAUGUGUCUGUGUGUGUGUGUGUAUAUAUAUAUGUAAUUGUAAUAUAUAAAGCCAUCUCAACGUACCACAGUUGAGCCUUGGAGACCAGAAACAAGAAAUCCUAGUGAUCCAAAUUGCAGCUCUGGUGACUUGGCCUUUUGUUGUCCUCUAGGAAAUGGGAGUCUUAUUCCCUACUGCCUUGACUUCCCCCUUGAUCAUGACUUUGCUUCUCUCUCUAGUCUCAGAUUCUCUUACUUUGUCUGUUUUUGUUUUUAUCACUCCCUCUCUGAGUGUCUUACAUUCAAUUUUCCCUAGAGACUAAGAUUUGAUUGAAUCAAUCAGUUCCUAUGGAAUAUGGAUCAUUUAUCACUCAUGUUGAGCCUAGAGGAGGGUCUUUGCCUAGGAUGUUGAUUCCUCGUCUAAUUCAUUGUGCCUCUUAAUAAGAAUGUCAUAUUAGACAAAACAUGACAUGCUACAUAGAAAUAACUGACUACAAUACGGUUUGAAAACAUCUGCAGAAAGAGGAACUAUGGGAUCUAUGUAAGAGAGACUCCUAACCCAGAUGGAUAGAAAGACAGGGAUCCACAGAAAAUAACUAAACGGUGUCUUGCAUUUCCUUGAAUAUAAAUCACGCUCUUGUUUAGUAGUAAAGUACACAGUGAUCACUUUGAAAGCAUAGAUCAUGGAUAAACAAUUUUCACAUUCCCAGAGCCCAAGUACCUGACACAUAGUAGGUAUUCAUUCAACAUCUGUGGAUGGAAGGGAUGGAAAGAGAGGGAAGAAGUUAGGAUGCAAAAUAAGCAAUUCAUUCUUAAUAAGCCUUUAACAUAGAACUCUCUUACUAAGCCUUUAUGUUUUAUUACUAUAUCGCAAUAUGAUCUUUGGGGAUUCAUUUUAAUUCAUUAUUUCAUUUUUCCACCUUUGAAAUAAUAAUAAUAACUUUUACUUACUCUUCAGAAAUGUCUGAUGAUAUUCAAGGCAAAAAAGAAAUUAUUUUGAGCUCCUUGGGAAGUCUUAUCUAAAUUUUAGGCCACUGAUAUCAGUAGUGUGUUAUAAUUAUUGUUGCUAAGGGGACUUAAAGGACUGUAUAAGUAAAAUCUUCUGAAUUUGUUCAUUUUGCUUGAGUUGGAAUAAAAUGCAAUGAAAAUUUUUCAUUUUUAACCAGAAUGGCUUAAAAAUGAGACUUCUUGGAUUAGAAAGAAAAAAUAACACAGCCCUUGAUAUUACACCUCGACCCAUCAGCAUCCUCUUGCCAUCACUGGCACCAUACUGGACUCUUUUCUGAGUGCAGAGGCAAGUUGUCUGCUGGUUCUUUGGCCUGAAUUGGCCUGUGUCCUUUUGAGGCUCCCUGCCUAAGGACUAUAACUUUGCACAAGAUUAAAUACACAUAUGCAGGGUACCGAACUAAUUCUCUCUUCAUUCCUUGUUUCACAAGUCUAGGAAAAGAUUAGUAAACAUUCCUACUGCUCCACUGUUUCCUAUUAAGAUCACAAAAAGAGGAAAUGAACCAAAAAGUGGUGAUAAAAAAGGUGAUAGCCUAUGGAUAAAUGAGUGAAGAGAAAGGGUGUAUCUCCCUUUAUUCAGGACACACUUCCUACACCAUCCAUAGAGAUUUCUCUCAAUUUUAUGUAAGGGACUUGUGUCAUGAUUAUAUAAAGGCACAAUCAAGGUUACCUUUUUUAAUAAAACAGGUGAUUCUUUUUAUCUGAGUAUAAAUAUUUAAAAAAGAACGUGAAGAAAAGUUGUCAUAUUAUCUUCUAUAUAUAUACUAUACCUUUAGGGUUCACAUGAUUUAUGUAAAAUAGAUGAGACAUUUAAAUGUUUGAAAUUACCUUUACAA